GGAAUUGAGCAGAGAAGUCAGGAAUGGUGCAUGAGUUACAGCUGAUUCUCAAGCACCUAUAAAGCAGUUAAUUCCCGAACAGAGAGAAGCCUGGAGCCUGCCAGUGAGAAUCUGAUGGUGAUGCUACCAUCUGCCAGCUGGUGCCUCUGCGAUCUGUGACUCCAGAAGCUCUGGUUACCACGUCCUCCCUUAUGGCAGAAGCUCCAAAGACUCCCCAAAUAUAGCCACUCCUUCUGCCAGCAUCUUCAUUCCCAACCUCCUCCAACCACAGUUUGUUUAUAUGGUGAAUUGCAUUUACUGACUUUUGGAUAUUGAGCCAUCCCUGUAUCUUCUGACUGAAGCCUACUUGAUCACAGUGAAUGAUCUUUUUGGUGUGUUCUUGGAUUUGUUUCCAGAAACAACAAGAAAGAGAACAAAUGUUGCCCGUGGCUCACAAGCAUUUGGACCUCCGGUAUCUGGACCUCUGCCACCUCUUCUGGUCUCCAAGGCCACUGCAUGCACACGGGGCUCCCAGACACAUGCAGGGCAGAGUCUGGUACUGUAUCCUAUGCUGACCUAUCAAUCACUACACCACAUUCGCAGCCUCCUGGGUAAGUCCAUGUGUAAGCCAUCAUGCCUGGCUCCUUUAUCAUCUCAGUAGUGAGACAUAUGCUCAGCAACAGGACAGCCUAAAAAUUUUCCUUAGAACUGGGGCUGGAGAGAUGG